rnacentral:rRNA from 1 species
AGUGAACGCUGGCGGCAGGCCUAAUACAUGCAAGUCGAACGGCAGCACAGCAGAGCUUGCUCUGUGGGUGGCGAGUGGCGGACGGGUGAGGAAUACAUGGGAAUCUGCCCAGUCGUGGGGGAUAACGUAGGGAAACUUACGCUAAUACCGCAUGCGCCCUUCGGGGAAGCCGGGGACCUUCGGCCUGGCGCGAUUGGAUGAGCCCAUGUCGGAUUAGCUAGUUGGCGGGGUAAUGGCCCACCAAGGCGACGAUCCGUAGCUGGUCUGAGAGGAUGAUCAGCCACACUGGAACUGAGACACGGUCCAGACUCCUACGGGAGGCAGCAUAGGGAAUAUUGGACAAUGGGCGCAAGCCUGAUCCAGACCAUAGCCGCCGUGAGUGAAGAAGG